rnacentral:tRNA from 1 species
GGAAAAUUACUCAAGUGGUUGAAGAGGAUGGUUUCGAAAACCAUUAGGGUGUAACAGCUGCGGGGGUUCGAAUCCCCCAUUUUCCGCCA